rnacentral:misc_RNA from 1 species
GGUUGAUGAUGAGGAGACGGGGAUGCUCCUUGAGGAUCGGCUCAAGGACGGGGAGCCGCACAAGAAUGAUGCUCAGGCAUGAUUGGAUCUGCAGUAAUUAUACUUGACGGCGAGAAAGAACUUGAAGAGGAGGAUAAUUUUAUCGAGAACUUUAGUUUCUUCCGAGAACUUUAAUUUCUUACUUUAUGCCUGGCUUUAGAUUCCGAUACCAUUAGUGUUACUUUGUAUGCUAUCUUAAUUCCCAGUUUAAAUCAUUUUCUGCCUUUAUGUAGGAGCUUUC